AGUGAACGCUGGCGGUAGGCCUAACACAUGCAAGUCGAACGGCAGCACAGUAAGAGCUUGCUCUUACGGGUGGCGAGUGGCGGACGGGUGAGGAAUACAUCGGAAUCUACUUUUUCGUGGGGGAUAACGUAGGGAAACUUACGCUAAUACCGCGUACGACCUACGGGUGAAAGCAGGGGAUCUUCGGACCUUGCGCGAUUGAAUGAGCCGAUGUCGGAUUAGCUAGUUGGCGGGGUAAAGGCCCACCAAGGCGACGAUCCGUAGCUGGUCUGAGAGGAUGAUCAGCCACACUGGAACUGAGACACGGUCCAGACUCCUACGGGAGGCAGCAGUGGGGAAUAUUGGACAAUGGGCGCAAGCCUGAUCCAGCCAUACCGCGUGGGUGAAGAAGGCCUUCGGGUUGUAAAGCCCUUUUGUUGGGAAGGAAAAGCAGCAGGUUAAUACCCCGCUGUUCUGACGGUACCCAAAGAAUAAGCACCGGCUAACUUCGUG
rnacentral:rRNA from 1 species